rnacentral:rRNA from 1 species
CCGCUGUCACGUGCGCUCGUAUUUUGCCCCGCCACUCCGGUCUCUCUCUGACAACCCCCGGCGCAAGUCAAUGGGGGGAAGUGUGGCCGGUUAACUAUUGUCAUUCCACCUUGUAGGGUUGGUCGUGCAUAUUUGCGCUAUGUAUGUAGUGACCCCUCUCAUUUAAUUAAAAUGAUUCUUUUUAAAUCUCCAACCUUGCUUCGGCAUUGUUGGGGAUUUGGUACUAUUCAGAUAAAUUAGAGGGUUCACAUAAUAGCGAAAAUGCGCACAAAGGCGCCGAG